rnacentral:tRNA from 1 species
AAGUCCAGGGUCUUCUACGACCUAAUCCGGAUUUGCAAUCUGGGCUGUCUGGGCU